UCAAUAAGAAUGAAAAAAAGAUCGGCACUCAACACGGUGAAAGGCAACCUCAACAUACAUCAGCAGAUAGCCCUUACUCUUCAGAUUAUUUUACAAAUAUGAGGUUAUAAAUGGUAGUAAAGUGUAUGGCGACACAUUCUGGCGGUAUUGGAAUACUCCAACAGUUCUGAUUGCUAUAUCCCUCUUGGGUUUAUACAACCCCCGGAAGUACAGACAACAAAGCAGACAUAAUCUGGAAUAUCGAUAACCUCUAAAGCUCUGAGAGGACCCUAAAAUAAAAGCAACUCCUGGAGGCUGGCAUUAUCGAAGAUUUUCACGAA